CCAUGGCAGCCGGGAGCUCCGGAACACUCCGGCUGGCUGCGGCGGCUCUAAGCUCCAGGGGUGUCCCACCUGCCCACUGUGGCUCUAAGCUCCUGGGGUGCCCCUGCUGCCCGUGGUGGCUUCAAGCUCCCAGGGGGCCCUGUGAUUGCUGGGAGCUCAGGGCCCUGCAGUUCCCCACAGGUGAUGGGGGACCCUUCAGUUCCCAGGCGCUGCAGGCUCAAGUCACAAAAGUCUCUGGAAGUCACAGAUUCCAUGUUCUCUGUGACAAAAUCGUAGUCCUAAUCAUAAGCAUUGUGUGAGUAUGUAUGGGUGAUCAUUAAGAAAUUAUUUGUAUGUACUAAAAAUACGUUUAAACCAUGUAACCAGUCCGGGUUGAUAAAGAAGUUUGUCCUAGACAAAGGAAUGUUGAUUUACCUGCCUGCCUAGAUCUCUGAGGUAAAUCAAGCAGUGUAAAGGCCAGGUUCACAGAGGGGAAGUGAAAUCAGCAUGGGAAGAGACCAGAGGCUAAAACUACAGGGGUUUGGUGUGUCUCUGGGGUAAAAACAAUGAGUUUGGGGGAAAUAUAAGGAGAAGCAAAGGACAUUUUGUUAUUUAUUUCACUGAGGAACACUCUUGGCAGAGUGGAGUGAUUCAUGACCAUUAUGGAUCCUGGUUUUGACUGAAAACCAGCAGGCUCUGCAGACAGACUGGAGGGUGAAGAAACUGCUUUAGCCAAAGAAGUGAGGCCUGCUAAAGUUAUGCGUAGAAACCAAGUGACCGUCGCAGUUGCUGCUUGUCUUUAGGCCAUACAAAUCUUGUUUUCUGUGGCAUUAACCACAUUGUCUACCACUGGAGUUAAAUUUCUGGAAGCCAGGAAAAAAAGAAAACCUCUUACAUGCCUGGGAGAAAUGUUUUACAGGACUCCCCAGCAAAACAAUUUCCCCUUAAUUAAGUAAUAUGAUGUAAAUUACAUGGUGAAUGAUUUAAUAAGGGAGGAAACGUGGCAACCAACAGCAACAAAAAUCUUUUAAGAAUAGUGGCGUGAUUCUCCGGAAAAGAACAGAAAAUAUGAAGUCACGAGCACAAGCCGCAAUUCACAAAAACCCCAAACCCAUUCAUUCUAUUCAUUAUUUUGGAAAUGGAAAGGUCCAAAAUCUCUUUCCCUGGACAGAAGGAUGCGUUCUCCUUUUCACCCAUCGACUACAACCCAUUGAAUUUGAUUGCUUUGGCCACUCUCACUCUUUGUUGCUGGCUCCUUGCCUAGCUUCUGGAAUACACAGCCCUGCUUGUAUAUGUGCCAAGUUCACUGUCACAGACCAGUGGAACUCACCAGUAUCGUCCACACAAUGUGAAAGUCUGUAUCCUCUGCUAGGUAAGUGGUGCCUGAAGAGGGCCUAAUAUGGAAAGAGAGGACCACAAAAUCAAAGUGAGAGUUAAAGGAGCUCGGUUUUAUCAAAUGGGUAUUAAAAGCCAACAAACAUGGUAAAUACCUUAUUUCUCCCCCUGCUCCUCCCCCCAAAAAAACCUAAAAGGAAAAGAUUUCACAUGAAGAAAAAGAGACCAACAAAAAUCUAAUGCUUCCCAAAAUUAUUGUUAUAGGAAGUUUAUAUUGAGAUGUGUCAGGACUCCCCCCACUUACCAUGCCUCGCUCCGGAUUUUUAAAAAAACAGCCAGUGGACACCCAAUGUGUGAGUGUCAGCUGCUCUCAGCCUGUUGACACCUGCUUCAGGCACUAUUGGUUCAAGCUGUCCACAGAUAUGUAAACUGACCCGGUUUUCUUAAUAGAGUUGAUUCUGACACCUAGAGUCAUCACUGCUAUUUCAUUAAUGAUCAUAUUUACAGAAUCAUCCAGCUAGUCUGUUUAUCCAUCACUUUGUGAAGAAAUGAGUAGUGGGGCAUGAGCAGCUGGGUACCUGCAAGGACUGAUGGAGAUAAAGGAGGAGUUCAAAAUUUAAAGGAACCUCUGCCCCUCACCUCUAGGGGGGAAGAAUGGUCACAACCUCCUGACAUCUGUUUGUGACACUCCCAGAUGUCAUGACCCUCCAGGCUGAAGACCCCUGUUCUAGAGGGGAAGCAAGUUUUAUUUAGAGAUGAAAUGUUGCUUUAUAUGAUGGUCAGUUUUGAAUGUGUGAAAGGGACAAUCACAAUAGCUUAUUUUCUAGAAUACAUACAGUUGCAUGAGAAAAAGUAGGUUUCUCCAGGAAUAAUCGUCACUGUUAUUACUAUUGCUACUGCAGUGGAGCUGGGAAUCAGGGACCUACUAUUUAAUGUAGGCACUGUACACAUAGAAAACUGUCCCUUCCUCCAAGAGUUUAUCAGCUAAGUAGAGUUCCCCCCCAUGGGGAAACUAAGGCUCCAUUAGAGCCAGGGAGAAGCUGGAGGAUCCUUCAGUGCAGAUUGUCCAGCAGCCCUGGCCAUAUGGAAGGUCUAGAUCAUGCCUACAACCAUGAAACCUUUCUCUAGAAGCAUCACUGUAGAUGCUAGGUUAUUUGAUGAAGCUGCAGUAAAUGAACAUGGGAUAUAAGAAUGCAGUUUAAUUUUAUGAAUGCAAAUGAUGGGUCCCCAUCCUAUGAGUUUUUACUCAGCAAAAGGUUACAUCCCUUCCAAGAGAAUAAGGGUUUAUCACUCAAAUCCAAUAGAUUCCUCCAGAUUUGUAUGAAUCUCGGUGCUCUGCCAAGAUUUCAGGGUAUCUGCAUAGGGGUAUAGAGUCAUGCUGCCAGAGCCAUUGGAACCUUGCUUGGUAGCAGGGGUAUGUGCAGGAAUAAAAAUUUGACCCCUUUUGGAGGGGCACUUUGUGUCCAUGCCCUAGCCCCAGGGCCAGAGGAGCUCACUCUCCCUGCCCUGGCCGAGCUCGCUUUUCCCACUCCAGCUGCAGGGCCGGAGGAGUUCUGUGCCCAUGCCGAUUAUUGGGAGGGUCUUGCCCCUGCUUGCCACACCCCCUUAUGCAUGUCCCUGCUUGGUCCAGAGAGAUGGCUCCUGAACCUGUAUUACCUUUCUGGAGGACUUCCCUCAGGUUGCCAGGAGGAAUAAUGUGUGUCCCACGUGACUCCACCAGACCCAAUUUCUCUCUCCUUCUUCUCUCCACACACAAGUUCCAGGAUCUAUGAGAUCCUUUUCCAGAUCCAUGGAAUGGGUGGGUGAUGAGGCCCUCUCUCCUUGACUUCCAGCCUGGAAGGGACAGAUAGAUAUGUGGAAGAACCCUGACCUUACCUAUAAGUUGUGAAAAAAGUUGUAUUGCAUGUGCAUGUGGUGUUUAGGUAAUUUUAUCACACAUUUUCUGGUUAGGCUGAGAAGUAUGGAGUUAGAUGCAGUGACUCAAACAGCUACAAUAGCAAAGAUGGAUAGUUGCAUGGUUAAAGCAUUUGGCUGGGAAUUAACAGAUCCUGGUUCUGCCACAGGCUGUGUGUGUAUGACCUUGAAUUUAGGCUGCUUUCAGUGCCUCAGUUUCACAUGUAUCUAGUGGGGAUAACAAUACCUUUCUAUCUCGCAGGGAUGCUCAUAAAUGAGGCUCAAUUUAUUAAUGAGAGUAUGGGGGAGUGAUAAAUUAAGAGGAUAGGUCAUGAGAUCUGGCUUGUGUGAGAAAUUGGGCACAAACAAUAUGCAUUUUAAUAUGGCCACACGUAAAGUCAUAUGUCUUGGAACAAAGAAGAAUCAAAUGCCUAACUCAGUGUUGGGCAACCUGCUGCCCGCAGGCCACAGGCGGCCCAUCAGGGUAAUCUGAUUGCAGGCCGCAAGACAUUUUGCGGACAUUGACCAUCCGCAGGCACCGUCCCACGCAGCUCCCAGUGGCCGUGGUUCUCUGUUCCCAGCCAAUGGGAGCUGCAGGAAGCAGCAACCAGCAUGUUAAGGCGAGGUUAGAUAAACUCUUUUCAGGGAUGGUCUAGGUAAACUUGGUCUUGCCUCAGCACAGGGGGUUGUAUUAGAUGAUCUGUUGAGGUCCUUUCUAGCCCUACAGUUUUAUUAUUCUAAGUAGGCCAUAUUUACAAGAGGAGGACUCUAUCCUGGGAACCUGUGACUCUGAAAAGGACUUGUGGAGGUCAUUGCGGAUAAUCAGCAGAACAUGAGCUUCCAGGGUGACACUGUGGCCAGUGAAAUCCUUGGAUAUAUAAGAGAAUCUUGAAUAGAAGCAGAGAGGUUAUAUUACCACUGUAUUUGGCACUGGUGCAACCGUGUUUGGAAUACUGUGUCCAGUUCUAGUGUCCACAAUUCAAGAAAGCUGUUGAUAAAUUAGAGAUGGUUCAGAGAAGAACCAUGGUCAGCAUUUCUGGAUGUCUUGUUAAACAAUAACAUUUUGCCUUUCUUUUUGUCUAUACAUUUGUUAAAAGUGAAUACAAGAACCACUUGCAUUAAAGAGACACACUAUCAAACUAGAAACGGAAUUCAUUUUUCAUAUUUGACUGAAGGGGUUUCAGGUCCCAAACCUUACUUUGAGCCAUCUGCUAAUUCUUCUGAUUUUGCAACCAUAUUUUCCCUAUCUUUAAGGGCCCAAUCCUAUAUGCUGCUAAACAACUCCUGGAAAUGCUGAAUCUUUCAACGUCCAUCACUGGAGUUGUUCAGCACUUGGCAGAAUCAGGCCCCCAAAGUGCUGUCAAAUAUACAGCAUAAACUAGCUGUCUAAAUGCAGAAGAAUGUUGAGACAGAAGUGUGAUUUUUUAUAUUGAUGGUGUCCCUUCAGUGUUUACACUAGCCCUUUCUAACAAAAUGGCAGCAAUUGAAGCACAUAUGGACUUCUAACAGUGAUUCACCAAAGCUAAACAUUUCUAUUGUUGUUUUAGAUCACCAGUCUCUGUAAUGGCCUUCCUUCUAAACACUGUUUAUUAUAUUUAGUUAAUUGUAAAUAUGAAAUGGAAUGAACAUGAAGUGUGUAUAAAAUUAAUACAUGUCAUUAUCUUGCACUAUUGUAGCCCUCUAUCUAAGAUACUUCUAUGGCUUUCAUCAUCAUCACAGUAUCUGAGCACCUCAUAAUCUUUAAUGUAGUCAUCCUCACAACACCAGCCCUACAAGGUAGGGAAGUGCUAUGAUCCCCAUUUUACAGAUAAGAACUGAGACACAGGGGGCUAAGUAACUUGCAUAAGAUCACAGAGGAAGUCAGUGGCAGAGGAUGAACUUGAACCUAUGUCUCUCAAGUUCUAGUCUAAUGCCCUACCACUGGGCUGUCCCAUAACUGUAACCUCUCUCCUUUGAUUGUUUUUGUCUCUUGCUAUGCUAUGUCUAAUUUUAGGGCCAAAUCCUUCUCACCUUAUCCCCAUAAGUAAUGAAUCAGUGGGACUACUGGCAUAAAAGGAGCAAGCUUUGUCCCCAAUUCCACAAGCAUUUGUGCAUGUGCUUGGCUUUAUGCACAUGAAUAGUCAGAUGAAUGUCAAUGAUGUAGUCGUAUUGCUAUCAGUGGGACAACUCAUGCAUGUAAACGUAAGCACAUGGGCAAGGAUUUGCAGGAUCAGGGCUUAGAUUGUAAAGUCCUCAGGGCAGGGAUCUGUCAUUUUUUCAUUUGU